AAUUUCUUCCUAAAAUACAUGGACUUAAAAUCUCUAGUCAGAAGGCCAGCAUCAGUUAUUUCUAUAGAAUGUGCCACGACCAUUGAGAAUUUGGUCUGAUGAUCAUCGUGUCUAUCAUUGUGGAUUUGUUAUUGAAUGUGCUUGGUCCAUGCCUCCAUUGUGCUUUUCAUUUGACCAAAUGAUGAUAAUCCUUGCGCUUCUUUAUUGCGGGUAUGAUAACUUUAGCAUAUGAAAUUCUUCUUAGUUUCAAAUCGAUCCUUAGUUACACAGGUGUAACUCCAGAACUUAUUGUACUUUUCUCUCCACAUGCAAUGGAAAUUGUAAUAAAUAUAACAUCCGAAGUCCAAUAAGAUGAUAUAUGGAUUUAUGCUGUGAUUGAAA
rnacentral:misc_RNA from 1 species